UACGGAGGAUGCAAGCGUUAUCCGGAUUUAUUGGGUUUAAAGGGUGCGUAGGCGGACAAAUAAGUCAGUGGUGAAAACCUGCAGCUUAACUGUAGACUUGCCGUUGAUACUGUUAGUCUUGAGUGUGGUCAAGGUAGGCGGAAUGUGUAAUGUAGCGGUGAAAUGCUUAGAUAUUACACAGAACACCGAUUGCGAAGGCAGCUUGCUGGGCCAUUACUGACGCUGAUGCACGAAAGCGUGGGGAUCGAACAGG
rnacentral:rRNA from 1 species